AAGCAGAAAAUGUGAAAAAAGGUAAAAAAGGGGUCCAGUUGAUGGCUCACAUUCAAGGUUUACAUGAUUAUGGGACAAUCAUUUAUCUGAAAGCCAAGGAGAUGGACCUAAUAACUCAAACAGAAGGGGACUACAGUUUUCCAGAGAACAAAGCAAAUGACAAAUAAAUAGAUCAGUAUUGGACUUGACGAUGAAAAAAAGGAACAAGUUAUGCAGAAACAACAGUAACCCUUAGAAGAGCAGGGCCACAGGUGGGCUCUGUCAUCUGGAAGAAAUGCGGGUAGUCACUCUGCACAGGGCCCCAGAAGAGCGCCUCAAUAUCCCCGGCUGAAAGAUUUUCUUCAGAAGAGAGGACCCUACCACCCUCCUGCCCCCUGCUUGG